AUAGAUAUGUAUACAUAGAGGUAAGCUAAGAUGCUUCUAAGAGCAUCUAGCUCCAAAUGCUUCUGAGUGACAUUUUUUCAAAUAAAAAUCAAUAUUAUUGAUCAUGAUCUACAAAACUAAAAUUGGCUAGAGGCAAAAAUUCAUGCAUUUUUUUAAUAUUUUCUAUACAUGUAUCAAAUGAAAACAAAAUUAACCAUGUCAUGAUAUAAAUUAUUUUGAAACAUCCAUAUUAGCUGAAAUUUAAUUUGUAUAAUUUUAAAAUAUUUUAGAUCAAGAUCAAUGAUUAAUUUAGAAGUGCAAAUUAUAUAGUUUAUACUAUAUUUUCAUUAACUAGUUAUAUUUUUAUUGUUCAUCUUUUCUUGGCUUGAUGCAUAGGCAAGAUACCUUAAAAUAAAACUAUUUAGUUCUAAUUUUUAUUUUCAAUUUUAGGAGUCUUUUUUCUUUGAUUAAGGAGCAUUAAGUGCCAAAUACACUUAGA
rnacentral:lncRNA from 1 species